ACUUCUUCUGUGAACAUCCGAGAGAGGAUGUUCCACGCCACUCUCUUCACAUCUUGGCCACCAAUCGUGGCCAAAGAAGAAAUCUAAAAAGCUCUGGACUAUUUGCAGGGAGUUGGUGACUUGUCCCAGCAGAUGACCCGAAUUUGGAAAUCUUUGGGGGCCGUUCCUGUUCAUCCUCAGUUUGGAGGUCCGAGGUGCUACAUGUCAGAGCCUUCUUCAGGAUUUGACGUGCCUCAAUGGGCUCAUAUGAAGUGUCAACUUGCACAACACUGAUACUGACAGUUGACACCUGAAAGAUGAUUAACUUCAGCAAAGUACUUACAGCAACUUAUCAGCCCGUUUUCUGAUGCAGCCACUGCCAGCAAGUCAAACUUUGGUCAGUCCUGAGACCCUGAUCUAAACUAGUCAUGCUAUGAUUAUGAUUGGUACUAAAACAAUGAACAAAAACUAUCAAUUAAUGUUAAUGUAAUGAAGUAAUUAACUAAUUAAUGUCUGAACUAAUAAACUGAUUGAAAUGCAUUUUUUGCAUGUUAAUGCAGGAGAGGAAAGGCCACAAAACCUUCCCUGUGGGGCAGGGCGACACAUUUCCCAUCCAGCUCUGAAACAUUGGCAGCCUUGAUGAUCUCAGAUUUUUCUGAAAUGAUACAAUGUCAUUUCCAAGCCUGAAGAUGUUAUCACCAGUCGAUGUUCUGAGAGUCCACUUCUCAGUGGACAUCUCGCCAUACUGUGCCUUGAUGGCCAUCCCCCCAACAAUAGGGCCCACAAAAUGCUGCCGUCUUAAAGUGCUGCCAGAUAAUUUUCAUAUGGGAAGGCAGAGAAGGAGUCAAGGUGACCAUGCUGCUGAACUUCACCUGCCAGAUGGGUUAUGCAGUGUACAUUAUACACAACGUUGUGUCUCCCAUAAAGUGUAGCAAAGUGCUGCACAAACGACUUCAGUAAAGUGUCAGCGUAAUCAGUGAGGUAGGAAAAUGUUGGGCUUGCUAAGAUGGAGAUACCAGAGAAGAGAAGCAUAAAAUUCUGAUACAGGUCUUUGUCCAGAAAACUGGCCAGCAUUACAGGUCCAGUGUACAAAAGAAACUGCCUUAGCUCAGUAGCCUUCCAGCGAUCCAAUUCUCUAAGAGAUCGCGGCUUUCUGGCAAACUCUACCGGAAUAUAAGGCCUCAUGGAUACCAAUUUAGCGGACAUUUGUUCAACUAUAGUUGCAGGGACACGGACAGUCAGAGGACCACGAAGCCACAUAUUGAGCAAGCGCCUAACGAUACCUAAGCACACAAGGUGCAUGUAAUCUAGGGGAAACUGUGACACCAUGCCAACCCCAGUACCCUCAAAUGCAUGUGGCCCCUCAUGGUGAUGUAUCUCAUCUAACCUGUCAUUGAAAGACUCAUCCGUCCUUAGUGCAUAAUCUUUACAUGGAAAACUCAUUCGGCUCUGUUCAUGUCUACCAGGGUUUGUGCAUUUAUCGCAGGCGUGGUAGGCAUUGUGACUUUUGGUGUGUUUCACAAAUGCUCUUGCCGGUGUGUCACAAAUUACUGUAUCAAGUUUAAGGGUCAAAGUCUUUCCCACGAAACAGAAACCCUUUUCCAGAUGAACUAAUUCUCUGGUGAAGUCUUCGAGGAAUUCUUUUGCUGAUGAAGGUUUUUUUUCUCCAGAGUAUAAUGCGAUCACUACAGGCUCUUUCAUAGGGACACUGAGCAGGAGACCCAGGAUGGGCCACAGCUGAACACUUGAGCUUUUAAAUAAUGGUAGCCCAUCUAUGUUUAUUUGUAGCCUCAAGGUUAAGCCAUCAGUUAGCGUGUGUGCAUACCCGCGGAGUGUAGCACUAAGUGAAUGGAUGAUGCCAAAAUAGUAGUAUUUUCCCCCUGCCUUCUCUUGAAUGGAAUAUUUAGUUGUUGUCCUAAGGAGGGUCCUGCCAUCCUUUGGAAGAUCAGGAUGGGAGAGGCAAAGGAUGCCUAGUAGGGCAGUCAGAGCAACCAAUGAAAUUCCAAAGUGUCUGGCCCAGUCCGCAAUCUUGUCAGAUAAGGACAUCUCAUAGAUCUCAUCUUCAGGUUCGGAACUAUCACUGCCACUAGCUAAGAGACCCUCAGUAUAGUCUGACUCAAACUCCAUGCCACCUUCCUCUUCAUGAAAGACUGUUCCUGCUUCAAUACCUGAGGUGGAACAGUCCUCAGCCCAAGAUCCAAUAACAAGCUGCAAAGAAAACAGAAUUAUGUUAUGUCAAUAAAUAGAAAAUAAUAAUAAAGGCUGCAAGUGACAUCACUAGCGGAAGCACAAGUGUCUUGGAGUGCAAGUAUGAGAAUGCAUUGGAAUUUGGAGAAAGAAAAUGUAAUAACAAAAUACUUGGAAGUGUGUUUAAAGAAAAAUUAUUCUAUGAUAUCAAAAAGCCAACAAAAAUAAAGAUAACAGAUAAUCAAGUUACAUUAACAAAGACUAGUUGUAGCUAUCUUAAAUGGCCAAUUUUACCCAAGGUAAAAGAAAUUCAGUUCAAAUUAAUAAAUAAUAUUUAUCCUGCUGCUGAAACCCUAAGGAAAAGGUUUAAUUUUGAAGUUAAUCUGUGUGUUUUUUGUAUGACAGAACACGAAACAAUUGAACACCUUUUUUUCUCUUGUUCAGUCACAAUGGGGUUUUGGAAGGAUGUUUAUCGAUGGUUAAAUAUUGGGAUCAAUAACUCUUUAUUUAACAAAUUUCGGAUGGUUUGUCAAAAAAGGUAUCUAAAAUGGUGAACAUUAUUUCAUGAUGGGAAAGUAUCAUAUACACAAAAAUAAGUGGAAUAACAGCAAGCCCAACAUAAACUGUUUUAAGAACGAAAUUAAAAAUUAUAUAGCAUCUCUAAAGGUGUUAUUGGAAGAAAACCAGUCCAUAAACGAGUUAUAUGAAACUAUGUCAGAGUCUCUUGCUCUUUGAGUUUACAGUCCUAUGUUCUUAAACACGCUUGGAGCAUUUAUGUUGUUUUGUCAGCCCCUAUAAUUAUUUUUUAUUUUAUUUUUAUUUGUAUUUUUUAUUUUUCUUACUUUAUAUGAUGUGAGUUUGUACUGUUUUAAAUACAGAAACACCGGCAAUGGCGUUCGUGGUCGGGAAAAAAAACCUUGGGAAUAUUCCCAGACCCUUUCAGCGCACGAUGACUGCUAGAUAAACCCGACAUUAGAAGAAAUGCUAAAUCCCAUUUACAUCGAGUGGAGAAUAUCAUCACCUUCCUAAAAUAAUUGCCCAAGUCAUUUUUUCAGGUUUCUCAGAAAACACAAAAAAACUGAACCUAACUUCAGAGGCCGAGUAGAUUUUCGUUCUUCUUGAUGCAACUGCCAUCUUUGGUCCGUGUAUCUUUUGGUCAUUC